rnacentral:rRNA from 1 species
AGAGUUUGAUCCUGGCUCAGGAUGAACGCCGGCGGUGUGCCUAAUACACGCAAGUCGUACGCACUGGCCCAACUGAUUGAUGGUGCUUGCACCUGAUUGACGAUGGAUCACCAGUGAGUGGCGGACGGGUGAGUAACACGUAGGUAACCUGCCUCGGAGCGGGGGAUAACACUUGGAAACAGAUGCUAAUACCGCAUAACAACAAAAGCCACAUGGCUUUUGUUUGAAAGAUGGCUUUGGCUAUCACUCUGGGAUGGACCUGCGGUGCAUUAGCUAGUUGGUAAGGUAACGGCUUACCAAGGCAAUGAUGCAUAGCCGAGUUGAGAGACUGAUCGGCCACAAUGGAACUGAGACACGGUCCAUACUCCUACGGGAGGCAGCAGUAGGGAAUCUUCCACAAUGGGCGCAAGCCUGAUGGAGCAACACCGCGUGAGUGAAGAAGGGUUUCGGCUCGUAAAGCUCUGUUGUUGGAGAAGAACGUGCGUGAGAGUAACUGUUCACGCAGUGACGGUAUCCAACCAGAAAGUCACGGCUAACUACGUGCCAGCAGCCGCGGUAAUACGUAGGUGGCAAGCGUUAUCCGGAUUUAUUGGGCGUAAAGCGAGCGCAGGCGGUUGCUUAGGUCUGAUGUGAAAGCCUUCGGCUUAACCGAAGAAGUGCAUCGGAAACCGGGCGACUUGAGUGCAGAAGAGGACAGUGGAACUCCAUGUGUAGCGGUGGAAUGCGUAGAUAUAUGGAAGAACACCAGUGGCGAAGGCGGCUGUCUGGUCUGCAACUGACGCUGAGGCUCGAAAGCAUGGGUAGCGAACAGGAUUAGAUACCCUGGUAGUCCAUGCCGUAAACGAUGAGUGCUAGGUGUUGGAGGGUUUCCGCCCUUCAGUGCCGGAGCUAACGCAUUAAGCACUCCGCCUGGGGAGUACGACCGCAAGGUUGAAACUCAAAGGAAUUGACGGGGGCCCGCACAAGCGGUGGAGCAUGUGGUUUAAUUCGAAGCUACGCGAAGAACCUUACCAGGUCUUGACAUCUUGCGCUAACCUUAGAGAUAAGGCGUUCCCUUCGGGGACGCAAUGACAGGUGGUGCAUGGUCGUCGUCAGCUCGUGUCGUGAGAUGUUGGGUUAAGUCCCGCAACGAGCGCAACCCUUGUUACUAGUUGCCAGCAUUAAGUUGGGCACUCUAGUGAGACUGCCGGUGACAAACCGGAGGAAGGUGGGGACGACGUCAGAUCAUCAUGCCCCUUAUGACCUGGGCUACACACGUGCUACAAUGGACGGUACAACGAGUCGCAAGCUCGCGAGAGUAAGCUAAUCUCUUAAAGCCGUUCUCAGUUCGGACUGUAGGCUGCAACUCGCCUACACGAAGUCGGAGUCGCUAGUAAUCGCGGAUCAGCAUGCCGCGGUGAAUACGUUCCCGGGCCUUGCACUCAACGCCCGUCA